AUGGGCGAGCCUGAUCCAGCCAUGCCGCGUGAGUGAUGAAGGCCCUAGGGUUGUAAAGCUCUUUCGCCAGGGACGAUAAUGACGGUACCUGGAUAAGAAGCCCCGGCUAACUUCGUGCCAGCAGCCGCGGUAAUGCGAAGGGGGCUAGCGUUGUUCGGAUUUACUGGGCGUAAAGCGCACGUAGGCGGAUUUUUAAGUCAGGGGUGAAAUCCCAAGGCUCAACCUUGGAACU
rnacentral:rRNA from 1 species